ensembl:lncRNA
CUUGAGGAGCGCACGAACAGGAUUAAGGCGAUGACUGUCGAGAAAACUGUUAAAACUCCAUAAGUUCGCCUUGUUUGACUAAAUGCGGAGCUGUAACGGAGUACUGAAGAAUCAAAGGGGAGUUCAGAAUGGCGUUUGAUGGACGUCAGAGCGCAUUUGCAAAUUCACUCUUCCACACUUAUCAACGUCAGGUGGGUGUUAAUGCGGGAGGUGGAAAUGGCAGUACAGUAGCAAUACCCUUCAUUUCCAUCCCCAGUGCAUCACAGCAGGAACAGGACACUGCAUCCUAUGUGCCCUGGUCUUAUUCUACUCAGGAUGAUCCUUAUGAACUCAUUAGAUGUGCCCAGCCCAGCAUUAAAAGCAGGAAACCCCCUGAAAAUGCUGAUUAUGAUGGUGAGAGUGAUCUACAGGGUCUAGUGUCAAAUAUUUUGGAUGAUGCAGAUUCACAGGAUAGCUUCUACAGUGAAGGGACCCUACCUACAUGCAAUCCCAUCUGGUCUCCAAAGACAUUGAGUGAAGAACUGCUACAGUAUUUACAAUCUGAGGCUAAAAUGCAGCACAACCCUCCCUUUACUCCAAACUAUGUAUCUCAGGAAAGUUUCAGUAAAGCACAGCAGCGGUCA